AUCCAGCUGAUGAGUCCAAAAUAAGACUGAACUCGUGCCCUGGAU
rnacentral:hammerhead_ribozyme from 1 species